rnacentral:rRNA from 1 species
UACAGAGGUCCCGAGCGUUGUUCGGAUUCACUGGGCGUAAAGGGUGCGUAGGUGGCAUGGAAAGUUUGAUGUGAAAGCUCAGGGCUUAACCCUGAAAUGGCAUUGAAUACUGCUGUGCUGGAGGUUUGGAGGGGGGACUGGAAUUCUUGGUGCAGCAGUGAAAUGCGUAGAUAUCAAGAGGAACACCAGUGGCGAAGGCGAGUCCCUGGACAACACCUGACACUGAGGUACGAAAGCUAGGGGAGCAAACAGG